UUGCAGCCAAAUCACGUUGGAACACCGGUUCUCGUACGAUCACCGAAGUUAAGCAACGUCGAGCCGGGUGACUAAAUGGGUGACUGCUUUGGAAUACCAGGUACUGUUA